rnacentral:rRNA from 1 species
AUUGAACGCUGGCGGCAGGCCUAACACAUGCAAGUCGAGCGGAUGAAGGGAGCUUGCUCCUGGCUUCAGCGGCGGACGGGUGAGUAAUGCCUAGGAAUCUGCCUGGUAUUGGGGGAUAACGUCCGGAAACGGGCGCUAAUACCGCAUACGUCCUGAGGGAGAAAGUGGGGGAUCUUCGGACCUCACGCUACCAGAUGAGCCUAGGUCGGAUUAGCUAGUUGGUGGGGUAAAGGCCUACCAAGGCGACGAUCCGUAACUGGUCUGAGAGGAUGAUCAGUCACACUGGAACUGAGACACGGUCCAGACUCCUACGGGAGGCAGCAGUGGGGAAUAUUGGGCAAUGGGCGAAAGCCUGAUCGAGCCAUGCCGCGUGUGUGAUGAAGGUCUUCGGAUCGUAAAGCUCUGUAAGUAGGGAGGAAGAUAAGUAAAUGAAUCUGUGGAUAUCUUGACGGUACCUACAGAGAAAGCCCCGGCUAACUUCGUG